rnacentral:rRNA from 1 species
GACGAACGCUGGCGGCGUGCUUAACACAUGCAAGUCGAACGGAAAAGCCCUGCUUUUGUGGGGUGCUCGAGUGGCGAACGGGUGAGUAACACGUGAGUAACCUGCCCUUGACUUUGGGAUAACUUCAGGAAACUGGGGCUAAUACCGGAUAGGAGCUCCUGCUGCAUGGUGGGGGUUGGAAAGUUUCGGCGGUUGGGGAUGGACUCGCGGCUUAUCAGCUUGUUGGUGGGGUAGUGGCUUACCAAGGCUUUGACGGGUAGCCGGCCUGAGAGGGUGACCGGCCACAGUGGGACUGAGAUACGGCCCAGACUCCUACGGGAGGCAGCAGUGGGGAAUAUUGCACAAUGGGCGGAGGCCUGAUGCAGCAACGCCGCGUGCGGGAUGACGGCCUUCGGGUUGUAAACCGCUUUCGCCUGUGACGAAGCGUGAGUGACGGUAAUGGGUAAAGAAGCACCGGCUAACUACGUGCCAGCAGCCGCGGUAAAAC